CCUACGGGUGGCUGCAGUGAGGAAUAUUGGUCAAUGGCCGGAAGGCUGAACCAGCCAUGCCGCGUGAAGGUCAGUGCCCUAUGGGCGUUAAACUUCUUUUGUGCGGGAGGAAUAAUGGUCAAGUGUGGCCAGACGAGCGUACCGUACGAAUAACCAUCGGCUAACUCCGUGCUAGCGGCCACGGUAAUACGGGGGGUGCAAGCGUUAUCCGGAUUUAUUGGGUUGAAAGGGUUCGUAGGCUGUGAGGUAAGUCAGCGGUGAAAUGCCGCCGUUCAACGGGGUGAAGUGCCAUUGAUACUGCGUGGCUGGAAUGCGGAUGCCGUGGGAGGAAUGUGUGGUGUAGCGGUGAAAUGCAUAGAUAUCA
rnacentral:rRNA from 1 species